AUGGUCAUAUUCCAUAGGAUCACUUUUGUAGUACGAUUGUCGGUUGCCUCGCCGAGAUUCUCGGAAUAUGUUCAACCAUGAUGAGGACUGUUAGUGUAAUCCUUUCAGCGGGAAGCGGCUCUCAAGUGUAUUACUUGUGAGAUUUGAUGACCGUUCUGACUCGGUUUACCGAUAUUCAACCACAAGCUGAGUGGU